rnacentral:rRNA from 1 species
UACGUAGGGUGCGAGCGUUGUCCGGAAUUAUUGGGCGUAAAGGGCUCGUAGGCGGUUUGUCGCGUCGGGAGUGAAAACUCAGGGCUUAACCCUGAGCCUGCUUCCGAUACGGGCAGACUAGAGGUAUGCAGGGGAGAACGGAAUUCCUGGUGUAGCGGUGAAAUGCGCAGAUAUCAGGAGGAACACCGGUGGCGAAGGCGGUUCUCUGGGCAUUACCUGACGCUGAGGAGCGAAAGUGUGGGAAGCGAUCCGG